AUUGAACGCUGGCGGCAGGCUUAACACAUGCAAGUCGAGCGGUAGCACAGGGGAGCUUGCUCCCUGGGUGACGAGCGGCGGACGGGUGAGUAAUGUCUGGGAAACUGCCUGAUGGAGGGGGAUAACUACUGGAAACGGUAGCUAAUACCGCAUAACGUCGCAAGACCAAAGAGGGGGACCUUCGGGCCUCUUGCCAUCAGAUGUGCCCAGAUGGGAUUAGCUAGUAGGUGGGGUAAUGGCUCACCUAGGCGACGAUCCCUAGCUGGUCUGAGAGGAUGACCAGCCACACUGGAACUGAGACACGGUCCAG
rnacentral:rRNA from 1 species